rnacentral:lncRNA from 1 species
CAAGUCACGAUAACGGACGUCGCUCCACUCCCCGCAACAGACUCCACGUGGCAGGUCACGGUGAUGGCCACGAUUCCACUCCACUACUCUUCAUAACAAGCUCCUCCUGAUCCCGAACGGCCCACUACCAGACAGUUACAAACAUCACUAUCAGUCUAUUACACCCUCCGCCUAUAAAAAGAGGACCCCAGAUACAUUAUUCUCUAAGCUCUAAUUUCUAUCUCAAAACUCUGCUAAAAUUUUUGUUCGAGCACUCCAUUCUUAUUGAGGCAGAGAACUGAGUUGAGCGUCGGAGGGUCUUGCCGGAGCACCCCCAACUCCGAUUUAGACUUCCUUUACAGGUUCCGGUGGUGACCGCGGCUCCCUCGACUCCAGCUUCUCCGACACCGGUGGAUUUUUGCACCAACACCAGAUAAUACCCAUAUUUGGACAUGAG